UACAGAGGGUGCAAGCGUUGAUCGGAAUUACUGGGCGUAAAGGGCGCGUAGGCGGCUAAUUAAGUUAGAUGUGAAAUCCCUGGGCUUAACCUGGGAACUGCAUUUAAUACUGGUUAUCUAGAGUAGAGUAGAGGGAAGUGGAAUUUCCGGUGUAGCGGUGAAAUGCGUAGAUAUCGGAAAGAACACCAGUGGCGAAGGCGGCUUUCUGGACGCAUACUGACGCUGAGGCGCGAAAGCGUGGGGAGCAAACAGG
rnacentral:rRNA from 1 species